rnacentral:rRNA from 1 species
UGCAUAUCAAUAAGCGGAGGAAAAGAAACCAACAGGGAUUGCCCUAGUAACGGCGAGUGAAGCGGCAACAGCUCAAAUUUGAAAUCUGGCUCUUUCAGAGUCCGAGUUGUAAUUUGCAGAGGGCGCUUUGGCUUUGGCAGCGGUCCAAGUUCCUUGGAACAGGACGUCACAGAGGGUGAGAAUCCCGUACGUGGUCGCUAGCUAUUGCCGUGUAAAGCCCCUUCGACGAGUCGAGUUGUUUGGGAAUGCAGCUCUAAAUGGGAGGUAAAUUUCUUCUAAAGCUAAAUAUUGGCCAGAGACCGAUAGCGCACAAGUAGAGUGAUCGAAAGAUGAAAAGCACUUUGGAAAGAGAGUCAAACAGCACGUGAAAUUGUUGAAAGGGAAGCGCUUGCAGCCAGACUUGCUUGCAGUUGCUCAUCCGGGCUUUUGCCCGGUGCACUCUUCUGCAGGCAGGCCAGCAUCAGUUUGGGCGGUGGGAUAAAGGUCUCUGUCAUGUACCUCUCUUCGGGGAGGCCUUAUAGGGGAGGCGACAUACCACCAGCCUAGACUGAGGUCCGCGCAUCUGCUAGGAUGCUGGCGUAAUGGCUGUAAGCGGCCCGUCUUGAACACGGACCA